rnacentral:sRNA from 1 species
GAGAGAGAGAGAGAGAGAGAUUUUGCCAGUUUUUAGUACAACAUAUGCAUAAUGACACAAAAAAGGAGCCCGGCUUUCAGUACUUCAGUACUUUGAUUAAUCCUUAUCUUUGUUAACUAUCCUCCUGCAUUGAACAAUGAACUAUGGUACGAACUUUUUUUAUGUUUUAGAUUUUAUUUUUGUACAAUAAAGAGUCAAUGACAAUUCAUACUAAAUGUAUUAUUAAAUUGACUUAGAUAUGUUAUUCAAAUAAAUUGAAGUUGAAGAAACAUGAAAUUUUCAAUAAUUAGAUACCUAAUGCUUUUGCUUCUACUUGUGCAUUUAGCAAUGGCAAUUCUAGUGAUAUGGACACGUUUUAAUUGUAAUAUUUAUUCAUCACUUUCAAAAUACGGUGGGUGUAUGAUCUUCUUGUAAUUUAUAAUGUAUUAAAUACGAGCAUUUUCGAUAGGAUUAUAAGUAGAAACGUACAAGUGAAGUGUAACCAAGUCAUCUGUAUUUUUUAAACAAUAAAAUGUGCUCAAAUCAC